rnacentral:lncRNA from 1 species
GUCACCGCAUCUUUAUAAAGGGCCGCCUUGGGGCGCGAAAAGUUCGUGAGGUGUAGUCGCGGCAACCAGGAGGUGCACCCACCACUAGAAUUUGAACAUCCUAAGAACAGGUAUUUUUGUCUCUGCUUUGCUGAUGUAUCCUCAGCAACCGGAACUGCCUGACAUCUGAUCCUUUCUGUGAGACACCAGGCUGUUGAGGAAGAAUCUAUGGCAACAUUGUAUCUAUUAAUAUACAGCUUCUGUAUUUAUCAGGCCCAGUUCUGGUGAUGAUUUCACUUUUGACAGAAGCUGUCCCUCAAAAGCAAACAUGCAAUAGAAGAAACAGAUCUCAGCAAUGGUGCAAGACCCACUCGAGCACGCUCAGCUAUCAUAUGGAAAAAACAAAAACACCACAUUUGCCUUAUUAUACACACAGAACCAACAGCUCUUUCUGAGAUUUGCUUGAUGAAUAACAUAUCCUCCUGGCUUCCCUUUCUAAGACUUAUCUAUAUUUUUAAACAAGCUAAAGUGUUAUCAGCUGAGGCAGAAUGUAAAAUGAAAUUUUGCUGCACAUACCCAGAAGGACACAGGCAUUGUAGGAAUACAGUUUUACUGUGGGAGAGAUUUUUACAGCAGAUCAAUAACAGAAUACUUUAUAUGGACACAACAGAGGAUUUUAGAUAACUUUUGACUCUAGUUUGUUAUUCCUACAAUUAUACCAACAUAUACUUUGUCCUUUUACCAACCCCUUUCUCCAUGUCUUUCUGCUCAUGAUGGUCUUAGAAAAGAGUGGCCUUUUUCAUUAGAGAUAAAUCUCCCAAAUGAUCACCCAUGUCUAUGCCUACAGCACACAGACAGCAUCCUCUGCAAUGUCCUUAGCUAUUUAUACAAAGGUCACCACCAAUCAACAGUGCCUUGAUCUCAAUAGCCACAGUAACUGAAUAAGGUAGUUCUAGUUGUACAGAUUAAUCCAGGAUUCUAAGUUUUAGAGGAAUGUUAAUGCCACAGCAAUAACAGCUUUAUUAUUAUUUUUUAUGUUAUAAUAUGGUAGAAGUAACCCAAUUCUUGCAUUCCAAGGUGAAAUGAAGCUGUAUUCUACGUCAGAUAGAUGGAGCACUUGCUGACACUGACAACCACCUCUCCCAGUUUCAUUAAACUACCUUAGUUGAAUAAGCAUAACAUUUUCCCUUUUGGUAGUACCAGGUAAGAGGCUGGUAUAAAGUCAUACAUUAAUGAGGUUACUAAAAGGACAUUUUCAAAACCUUCUACCAUACGGCCACGUACAGUACAAUUGAAGGGUGCUAUCAAUAGCAUCAGAGUAGUGGCUGCCUCUGUACCUAACAUACAAUCCAGUAUAAAAGAUCACUAACAAACUGUUUUAAAGUCUUACAUGGCACAACUGAAGAGUUUCUGUUCUUUUCUUUGUUACACUCUUUCUGAGCACUGAAACAUUCCACAUAUUUUGCAUUACACUGUGUGACCAGCUGAAAAAGAAAAAACAUUUUAGUCUUCAUUCAAAGAUAUAAUUGAUAGCAUUUGCUUGAUGCUUUGGCAAAAAUCCCAAUCAGAUUACUGAUAAACAAGACCAUUUCUGUGCCACAAAGAACCUUUUAAGACACAGGGUCUUGCUCUCUUGCCCAGGCUGGAGUGCAGUGGCAUGAUUGUAGCUCAGUUAACUGUGAUCCUCCCACCUCAGCCUCCUGAGUAGUUAGGACCACAGGUGCAUCAGCACAACCAGCUAAUUUUUAAAAUUGUUUAUAGAAUUGGGGUCUUCCUGUGUUUCCCAGGCUGCUCUGGGAUUACAGGUGUAAUCUACCAUGCCCAGCCCCAGAGAACACUCUUGUGCUUUCCUAGUGGUACUUCUCUCAGUGACCUUGAUUGUAUCUUUCUUAUUUCUACUAUCAGGUAGAAAUAGGUACUGUGUGCAAUAGAUAUUUCUAGAACUAUGUGGAUUCUUCUGUUAUGUGAUGUCACUGCUGCUGUGAAUUUUUUUCUGUGAUCCUCACUGGCAUAAAAGACCUACGUGAGUCUACAUUAAAAAAGAUUGCUUAAUGCUAUUGAUUACGAGCUAAUCAAGUUUCUUGAAGAUAAAGGAGUACUUAACUAGUUCUCAGUACAUUUCUGUUGAACUGAACUAACAUUGUUCUAAGGCUUUUAUAAGUAACCAGCCCAGUAGUUUGAUUAUUAUUCCUGUUUAUGUAGCUUGGUUGAACCAUUUUGUCAAUCCUAUUUUUUGGGGGCUGGCAUCCAUCCUAAUGGAGUAUAUGAGAUCAGUGUUCUUCUCCAGAUGCUUUAGUAAAACUCAUGGUCCCUGGAUAUAAUUUUCAUUUUCAAGUUUGAUUCUUGUUUUUUUCUUCAUCUUGAGCUCUAAAAUGGUUAGUGCCUGUAAAAGAACCAACUACCUGGUCGCAUUUCUUAAAUGAAGUUUUAAAGUAUGUAUAAAAAAAAAUUGAAGAAACGAAAAAGGCAGAAUUUAAGAAAUGUUGGUACUUAAUAUUUUGUAAGAACUCAUGUUAAACAUUUAAAAUGAUACACUGUGUCCUCAUUAUUAAUUAUCUCAUGGUUUUAUAGUAGAAUGUUAAUGGGGAGCUAAAAAUUUUUAAUUUUAUGACUGAACUCAGUGAAAUUAAACUAUUUUUCAUUUCAUAUCACUUGGUAUAAUUUGCUUGGCAGUCUCAUUUCUUCAGCUGAGAUUCAAAUGAAAGUUUCAGUCUAUGGAAAGUUUUACCAUGAAAACUAAAACUGUAGAUUCAUCUCAUUCUUUGAAUCUUGAUACAAAGGGAGAAACUAUUUACAUACAGAACAAUGUGCAAAAUAGAAUUUAAAAGACAAAGAUAAAUAGGAAAGCACUUGGUAACUGGAGAGACAGGCGAUGUUUGAAAGUUAGAAGCAAUUUUGAUUUAUUAUCAGAUGACUGAGCCCUAAUUAUUUUAAUAGUCCUUAUAAUCUCUCUUUUUCACCUUCACUUCAGUCAAUUCCAUAUAAACCUUAACCGCUUUUAAGCUUCUUCAUGUCCCUAUCAAAGAAAAAGAACAACCAUUUAGGAAAAGUUAACUUUUCUCUAGUAUUGUUUAGUAAUUCUUUUUAAAUUCCUAAAUUAUCUUCUGAAAUAGUUUUUGAAAUAGGCAUAUUUUUAGGACAAUAUGUCUACAAGUCAUCAUUCUUAAUAAUUAAGGUAAGAUAGAUUAGUUCAGAAAAAAUAGGACAUUUUUUGGACUAAACGAGUUACUUUAAAGUACUAUGUCAUUAUGGCCAGGGGCUGAUGUUUAUAUUCAGAUAAAGUCAUAAAUUGCUCAGAAGAAAAUACAACACUGUAUAUCUACUUGAAUACCAACAAUUCAUACAUAGGUCAAAACCGUAUUUUCUUUUUCAUCACAUUUAAGGAGUACAAGGAGUACAAAUAGUAAUCCAUUUCGGUGUAUACAUUAAUGCAAAGAAGACAUAACCCCCAAACUCAAGGCAUUUAAAACAUUUUCUUGCUUUAUGCCAAAGAAACUUUUUCAAAGCACUACCUUGAAUUGCUUUUCCAGUCGUGUCUUUCCUCCUACUCCUGGUAUAAGGAUGCUGUUAACAUAGCUGUGCAGCUGAUUUGAAGAUACUUCAGUCUCCUUUCCAAGAAUGGCUUCCAACAAGGCAUCAUGGAUGAAAAUGUACUGCUCCUAAGAG